CGGGCGGCUAAGCGUUGAGGUUUGUUUAUCUGGUGCAGAGGGUGCUCAUUUCACCUACCCUUGUCUCCCAGGACAGAGCUUGUAGAAAUUGUGAAAUUUUGAGAUAUAAGUUGGGUGACCCUCAGUCUGCCUCUUCCAUCGAAAACCUACCUCGGGCACGUUUCUUAACUUCCUGAUAUUCUUUACAUGAAUCAUCUGUCAAAUGUGCACUGGAGAUGACUCUUUAUUCUCACAGAUUCCACUCAUCUUUCUUUCAGCAAUUCUUUACACAGCACCUAUGAAAAUUUAUGUCAAACAAUUUAGCCAAACUUGGGCUAUGCAUGGAAGAGAAGGGACAGAAAUGUAGCCAGAAAUCUUCAAUGUCUAUGAUGCUUGCACCAGAAAACCAUAAGCUCCUUUUGGAAAUAGGAAAUAACAAUUUGUCAAAGCAUAUUUUUCUCUCUAUUUCUAAAAAUGUGCAAUUAUUUUGAUUUUAAAAAUUUUGAGAAAUGCCAAAAGAGAAGAGAUGAUUUAGCUUCGUACAGCUUGUCUGAACUCUGUAACAGAAUAUUGGCACAUAAAGUAGUUAAUCCAAAUAAAAGAAAAUGGAACCUGACCGCUUGUUACUACCUUUAUUGCUGCUACCUAUUAUCUCUUACCUGGACUGUCUAUAAAAUCCUCUGUCACCCAAAAAAAAUUCGUGGGAUAUGGCUCUGACUUAAAUGCUGCAUGAAUCUGCUGAAAAUAGUUGAUCCAGGAAGAUUCCAUAUUUCUCAAAGAUAAUAAAUAAAAGAGGGACUUCUGGCUUCUGGAAAUGGCACAGUAGCUUAUGUUGGACAGACUCUAUUGCAAAUAACAAUUAUAAACGUUGGACAAAGAAGAGAUUCUUUUAGAAGACCCUGGACAGCAACCAAAAUAGCUUGAAAACACAGGAGGGUAUACAAUUCUUGAAAGAAGGGAAAAAUACUGGGUAAGAUCCACAUUUGUCCAGCCUUUAUUCAUGAGGGCAUUGGUCUGGGCAGUACAUGGGGAAUAGAGUGCCAGUAUAAAGCAGCAUUCUUCCCAUUCUAGAAAUCUCAGAAGUUGAAGUUUGAAAAUGCCAGAUCAACUGGAAAUUGGGGCAGGAACCUUGAAAAGGGAGCCACAGGGAGAGGGGAGGGAGCUCCAAAAUUUGUCUAACAAAAUCCCCUCAAAUCUUUGGCUGACAUUAAUUAUAACAGCACAUGCAUGUGAUAAGACCUGAAGAACCCAAUGGACAGCAACAGCUGAAAGACUGGAAGAGCUGAAGUGAAAUUUCAGGAGCUGUCUGAUGCUGAGAAGAUAGUGUAUUUUUGAAUAUUUAAAUAUUUAAAUUCAAAUAUUUGAAAUGUAAAUAUUUCCAAGUUACAGAGAUUGGGUGAAGACUUUGGACAUUCCACUGAGCAACAUCUUAGAAGUAAUGACUACAUCCAAUGACUGAGACCUAUGCCCUAGAAUCAAGGGCAAAAUCAACCAAAUCAAUAUUAAAAAAAAAAAAAAAAAAAAAAAAAAAAAAAAAAAA